rnacentral:rRNA from 1 species
UACGGGGGGGUGCGAGCGUUGUCCGGAAUCACUGGGCGUAAAGGGCGCGUAGGUGGUGUCGUAAGUUUGUGGUGAAAAGCCCCGGGGGCUCAACCCCCGGGUCUGCCGCGAAUACUGCGAGACUUGAGUGCUGUAGAGGCGGGUAGAAUGCCGGGUGUAGCGGUGGAAUGCGUAGAGAUCCGGCAGAAGACCGGUGGCGAAGGCGGCCCGCUGGGCAGUAACUGACACUGAGGCGCGACAGCGUGGGGGAGCAAACAGG